rnacentral:rRNA from 1 species
UACGUAGGGUGCAAGCGUUGUCCGGAAUUAUUGGGCGUAAAGAGCUCGUAGGCGGUCAGUCGCGUCUGCUGUGAAAACUCGGGGCUUAACUCCGGGCCUGCAGUGGGUACGGGCUGACUAGAGUGCGGUAGGGGAGACUGGAAUUCCUGGUGUAGCGGUGAAAUGCGCAGAUAUCGGGAGGAACACCCGUAGCGAAGGCGGCACUCUGGGCCGGAACUGACGCUGAGGAGCGAAAGCGUGGGGAGCAAACAGG